GGAGGGAUCAUUACCGAGUGAGGGCCCCCGGGCCCGACCUCCCACCCUUUGUUUUCCAAACCACGUUGCCUCGGGGGCGACCCGGCCUCGGCCGGCGCCCCCGGCGGCCCAUUCAACUCUGCAUCUGAGCGUCUGAGCGAAUAGCGAAUCAAACAAAACUUUCAACAACGGAUCUCUUGGUUCUGGCAUCGAUGAAGAACGCAGCGAAAUGCGAUAAGUAAUGUGAAUUGCAGAAUUCAGUGAAUCAUCGAAUCUUUGAACGCACAUUGCGCCCCUUGGUAUUCCGGGGGGCAUGCCCGUUCGAGCGUCAUUAACACCACUCAAGCCUGGCUUGGUAUUGGGCGUCGCGCUCCGGCGCGCACCUUCAUGUCGUCGGCCGAGCCGUCCGUCUCUAAGCGUUGUGGUCAUUCAUCCGCUUGCGAGUCGGUCGGGUCUGCGCCGUUAAACACUCUAUUAAAGGUUGACCUCGGAUCAGGUAGGGAUA
rnacentral:rRNA from 1 species